rnacentral:rRNA from 1 species
GACGAACGCUGGCGCCGUGCCUAAUACAUGCAAGUAGAACGCAGUUGCGAACGGGUGAGUAACGCGUAGGUAACUGCCUCAUAGCGGGGGAUAACUAUUGGAAACGAUAGCUAAUACCGCAUACUGUGAGAUGGACCUGCGGUGUAUUAGCUAGUUGGUGAGGAAAAGGCUCAAAAAGGCGACGAUACAUAGCCGACCUGGGAGGGGGAGCGGCCACACUGGGACUGAGACACGGCCCAGACUCCUACGGUAGGCAGCAGUAGGGAGUCUGCGGCGAUGGACGGUAGUCUGACCGAGCAACGCCGCGUGAGUGAAGAAGGUUUUCGGAGCGUAGAGCUCGGUUGUUAGAGAUACGGGAACUAGCCAGAAGGGGGCGGCUGACUACGUGGCAGCAGCCGCGGUAGUAC